UACGUAGGGAGCAAGCGUUAUCCGGAUUUACUGGGUGUAAAGGGAGCGUAGACGGCGGUGCAAGCCAGGGGUGAAAGCCCGGGGCCCAACCCCGGGACUGCCCUUGGAACUGCAUGGCUGGAGUGCGGGAGGGGCAGGCGGAAUUCCUGGUGUAGCGGUGAAAUGCGUAGAUAUCAGGAGGAACACCGGCGGCGAAGGCGGCCUGCUGGACUGAAACUGACGUUGAGGCUCGAAAGCGUGGGGAGCAAACAGG
rnacentral:rRNA from 1 species